rnacentral:rRNA from 1 species
AGAUUGAACGCUGGCGGCAGGCCUAACACAUGCAAGUCGGGCGGCAGCACGGGUACUUGUACCUGGUGGCGAGCGGCGGACGGGUGAGUAAUGCCUAGGAAUCUGCCUGGUAGUGGGGGAUAACGCUCGGAAACGGACGCUAAUACCGCAUACGUCCUACGGGAGAAAGCAGGGGACCUUCGGGCCUUGCGCUAUCAGAUGAGCCUAGGUCGGAUUAGCUAGUUGGUGAGGUAAUGGCUCACCAAGGCGACGAUCCGUAACUGGUCUGAGAGGAUGAUCAGUCACACUGGAACUGAGACACGGUCAGACUCUACGGGAGCAGCAGUGGGAAUAUUGGACAAGUGGGA